CUUAAACAAACAAAGAGCACUAGGUGAAUGCCUAGGCACCAAGAGGCGACGAAGGACGUGACAAGCUGCGAAAAGCUACGGAGAGGAGCAAAUAUCCAUUGACCCGUAGAUAUCCGAAUGGGGAAACCCACCGUAAGGUAUCCUAUAGCCAAUUCAUAACUAUAGGAAGCGAACCAGGUGAACUGAAACAUCUAAGUAACCUGAGGAAAAGAAAGAAAACUCGAUUCCCUGAGUAGCGGCGAGCGAACGGGGAAGAGCCCAAAGUGUAAAAAGAGACAAUAGCCAGCCAAAUAAUCUGGGAAGAUUAACCAAAGAAGGUAAGAGUCCUGUAGGCGAAAGCGAAGAUAUCCGACACAAAAGAGUACCACGGAACACGAGAAAUUCAGUGGGAAGAUGGGGGGACCACCCCCUAAGGCUAAAUACUACUUGGUGACCGAUAGCGAACAAGUACCGUGAGGGAAAGGUGAAAAGAACCCCGAGAGGGGAGUGAAAUAGAAUCUGAAACCUAGUGUUUACAAGCAGCGAAAGUGGCAUACGCCACGAUCGUGUACUUUUUGUAGAACGGGCCAGCGAGUUACGAUUACUAGCAAGGUUAAGCAUUACAGAUGUGGAGCCGAAGCGAAAGCGAGUCUAAAUAGGGCGAAAGUUAGUGGUUGUAGACCCGAAACCGUGUGAUCUAUCCAUGAGCAGAGUGAAGUUGAAGUAAAAUUCAAUGGAGGCUCGAACCGGGUAACGUUUAAAAGUUAUCGGAUGACUUGUGGAUAGGGGUGAAAAGCCAAACGAACACGGAGAUAGCUGGUUCUCCUCGAAAUAGCUUUAGGGCUAGCCUCUAGUAAGACAUGAAAAGGGGGUAGAGCACUGAUUGGUUGCGGGGCAUGCAUAUGUUACCAAAACCUAUCAAACUCCGAAUACCAUAUCAUGCACUAGGGAGUCAGACUAUGUGGGAUGAGCUUCAUAGUCGAAAGGGAAAGAGCCCAGACCAUCAGCUAAGGUCCCAAAAUUAUAGUUAAGUGGGAAAGGAUGUGGAGUUACUGAGACAACUAGGAUGUUGGCUUAGAAGCAGCCACUCAUUUAAAGAGUGCGUAAUAGCUCACUAGUCAAGUGACUCUGCGCCGAAGAUAACCGGGGCUAAACUAUAUACCGAAGCUAUGGAACGAAUAACGUUGGUAGAGGAGCAAUGUAUGAAGGACGAAGCAUAAGCCGUAAGGCAGUGUGGACAUCAUACAAGAGAGAAUGCUGGCAUGAGUAGCGAGAGGUGAGUGAGAAUCUCACCCGUCGAAAACCCAAGGAUUCCUGAGCAAGGCUCGUCCACUCAGGGUAAGUCGGGACCUAAGGCGAGGCUGAAAAGCGUAGUCGAUGGACAACAGGUUGAAAUUCCUGUACCGAUACAAUCGUUAAAGGAAGUGGGGACGCAGGAGGAUAAUAAGAGCGCCCAGUUGGUGAGGCGUGCAAGCGCAAAGUCUGGAGAGUAGGCAAAUCCGCUCUCCGAAAAGGAUGAAGCGUAAUGCGGAUCGAAAACAAGUAGAGAAGCUUAUGACUCCACACUGCCAAGAAAAGCCACUACAAGAGAAGUAUCGCCCGUACCGUAAACCGACACAGGUAGGUGAGGAGAGAAUCCUAAGACGAGCGGAAAAACCUUUGUUAAGGAACUCGGCAAAAUGACCCCGUAACUUCGGGAGAAGGGGAGCCCCUGUAACAGGGGGCCGCAGUGAAAAGGCCCAAGCGACUGUUUACCAAAAACACAAGUUUCUGCUAAGUCGAAAGACGAAGUAUAGGAGCUGACACCUGCCCGGUGCUGGAAGGUUAAGGGAAAAAGUUAGCGUAAGGUAGCGAAAUUCCUUGUCGGGUAAGUUCCGACCCGCACGAAAGGUGUAACGAUUUGGGCACUGUCUCAACAAAGGAUCCGGUGAAAUUGUAGUAGCGGUAAAGAUGCCGCUUACCCACGACAGGACGGAAAGACCCCGUGGAGCUUUACUGUAGGCUGAGAUUGAAUUUUGGGAUUAAAUGUACAGAAUAGGUGGGAGGCAGAGAAUUAGGUACGCCAGUAUCUAAGGAGCCACCGUUGGGAUACCACUCUUUUAAUGCUAGAAUUCUAACCUAACCCCAUGAAUCUGGGGAAGGGACACUCUCAGUUGGACAGUUUGACUGGGGCGGUCGCCUCCGAAAGAGUAACGGAGGCGUUCAAAGGUUCCCUCAGCACGGAUGGAAAUCGUGCGCAGAGUAUAAAGGCAGAAGGGAGCUUAACUGCGAGACCAACAAGUCGAGCAGAUGCGAAAGCAGGACUUAGUGAUCCGGUGGUACCGAGUGGAAGGGCCAUCGCUCAACGGAUAAAAGCUACCCCGGGGAUAACAGGCUUAUCUCCCCCAAGAGUCCACAUC
rnacentral:rRNA from 1 species